rnacentral:rRNA from 1 species
UACGUAGGGUGCAAGCGUUAAUCGGAAUUACUGGGCGUAAAGCGUGCGCAGGCGGUGAUGUAAGGCAGGUGUGAAAUCCCGGGGCUCAACCUCGGAACUGCAUUUGUGACUGCAUCGCUGGAGUGCGGCAGAGGGGGAUGGAAUUCCGCGUGUAGCAGUGAAAUGCGUAGAUAUGCGGAGGAACACCGAUGGCGAAGGCAAUCCCCUGGGCCUGCACUGACGCUCAUGCACGAAAGCGUGGGGAGCAAACAGG